AUUCUUCUUUCGCGGGUCUACUGGAAGAAAUUUCUAUAGAAAUAAAUAAUACACUUUCCUAUUUGUAAGUUUUAUAUUUACACUGUUAUGUUGUGUACAUAAAUAAAUAUAAAAAACUUUUUAUCAGAGUUUGUCCAAGAAAUUACAAUGUGCUCAAGUAAAUCAACUGCACUGGCCACCAAGAUUUGCAUUAGAUAAUUAAGUUGAAUUAUUCUAAUUUAAAAAAAAUUUUUCGCUGUCAAUUGUUGCAAAAUGUUUUAAGUUUGAACCUAAGUAUGUCUGUGUACGGGGCACCGUAACUCAUCAACGGUUGAACCGAUUAGAAUGCGGUUUUUUUUUAUAGGUAAUUUUUGUGCGGCAGCUCUUAGAUAUGUUUGAUCAAAAUCGGCUCAGCCGUUCAAAAGUAGUAACGAAAUGAAUAAUGAUAAAGUCGGGGGUUUUUUAAUUUGUAUUUUUUGGGUUCCAAUAUUAUAUUUACACUAGCUGCGCCCCCGAGCUUCGCUCCCGUGGCAAUUUCGGGAUAAAAAUUACCCUAUGUGUUAUUCCAGGUUAUAUUCUACCCGUGUACCAAAUUUCAUAGCAAUCUGUGCAAUAGAUUUUGCGUGAAAGAGUAACAAACGUACAUACACACAUCCUCACAAACGUUAGCCUUUAUAAUAUUAGGAGGAUUGUAAUUGCCAAUACACAUUAUUUCAGUCAUGAUGGAAAAUGAUCUUUUUCUGAUUGGCCCGGGUCUUGGAUGUUUAUCUAUAUAUGUAUAUGUUAUAAAAUGUAGUAUCGUUGAGUUAGUAUCCCGUAAUACAAAUCUGUGUGAUUUGUCCUUACUUUAAUUUAUUUAUAAUAAUGAUGUUCACAGAUUCAUAGAGAAGCUCCAAGAAGUGUUGGACGGUAACCGUGCAGUGACCAUAGUGUUGGACGACCCCGCUGGUAACUCGUAUGUUCAGAGCUUGGCCGACGACCCGACCACACCAGACGAAGGUGUUAAGAUAACGAGAUACGAGCGCUCACACGAACAGAACGAGGAGCUAGGACUCAAUGAUAUGAAGACUGAAGGAUACGAGGAAAGCUAGCGGGCGUCAUUACGUUUUAAUGUAUUUUAACCCAAGCAGAGAAUAAAUAUAUUUGUUUAUU